rnacentral:lncRNA from 1 species
GAUAUGAUGGUUUCCACAUCAAGAGCCGGAGGGAGAUAUAUGUUGUGAAAUCCUUCUCAUGAUGUGGACAUUGUGGAUAGUAUUUAGAUCCUAGUGAGCAUUUCCUACAUGCAAAGGAAAUGUUUGAUGUAGCAUAAGAUACAUUAAUCAUGUAUGUGUUUAGUAUCUUGUGUACAAGAUAAAGAAGAAAUCUCUGCAAACAAAGAGAUUGGAGAAAAAAACCAUAAACGCGAUCUCCAAGAGGGAAAAAAAGAAGAGGGGGAGAAGGUGAUUAAUUGGAGAGGAGAUUUUGUUUUCAAGGUUGUGAAGGUGCAGACCCAUGUCAUUGGUGCCCGAAAUAUGUGAUUCACCAUUCUUACUGAGGUUCUUCUAUCCUAAACUUGUAGCCCUAAAUCUUGAUGUGAUAUCCUAGAUGAUGAAAUCUUUCAAAUGUAAGCCUCUAGUGCUAUCUAGCUAGAGAAUAACUUGUUGGAAUUCUACAAGUAUAUAGUGCGAGAGAUUUGGCUAGCAAGGUCUCAUAUGGUUUUUACCCAAUCUGGGUGUGUUCCACGUUAAAAUUAAUAUCUUCUUGGUUGACAUGCUGACUUUUUUUAGAAAAUGGAAAUAGUUCCAACUUCUGUGACC